AAAAAGUUUAACAAGAACUCAUAAAUACCAAAUCAAAUUUUAUUUACAGAAAUUUUCAGAUCCGGCUACCGUCACUAAAUGAAAAGAUGAAAGAAUGGUAAGAUUUUAUUGCUGACUUCAUUACUAUUGCCGAUUGUUUCUGUUCCCUCAGAAAGCUUUUUAUACUGAAGAAACACCGUUUCAAGUACUCCAUGGUCAUACUGGAGAUGUCUUGGACUUGGCAUGGUCAGACUCAAAUUUGCUUCUUUCAGCUUCUAAAGACAAGACAGUUCGGCUAUGGAGAGUUGGUUGUGAUGAGUGUCUUCAUAUCUUCCAUCAUAACAACUACAGUAACUUUUUGAACUCUUAACUCAGUUAAAAAGAAUCAUGUCGGGUAUGAGAGUGACUCAUACCAGACAUGAGGAGGAAAAAGACUUAUGUUCAGCUCAAUCCUCUGUGCUUGUGUGACAAGUACGUUUAUAUAUGUAUAUGUAUGAGGAGGAAAAAGAGCAAUAUUAUUAAUAGUCAAGGACUGAGAUUGAAGUUGGCCUUUCCACAGCAUGGACUCAUGUUUCAGCAACUUCAUGAAGACAAUGCUCAUCACUUACCUUCUCAUACCUCUCCCCCUUCUUGCCCUCCUCAUCUCUUCUAUGGAAAGUCUCUCUCUCUCUCUCUGUGUGUGUAUAUACACACAAUUACACAUGUAUAUACCAGUAUGAAAAGGGUUUAAGACUACCAAAUCAUGAUUUGAAGUGUUAAACCAUUUUUUUUGGUGUAGGAGGAGGAAACUACAUGAUCAACAGAUCAAUGACGUUCACGGGAGUAUCAGACCACCACCAUCUAACUCAAAGAAGCCCGACCACGACGAAGACAAUCUAUCAGAUGAUGGGUCCCAUAUGAUGUUAGGAGGGACGAAGAAGAGGCUGAAUUUAGAGCAAGUUAGGGCAUUAGAGAAGAUCUUCGAGCUAGGGAACAAGUUGGAGCCUGAGAGGAAGAUGCAGCUAGGUAAGGCCUUAGGGUUGCAGCCUAGGCAGAUUGCGAAUUGUUUUCAGAACAGGAAAGCUAGGUUGAAGACAAAGCAGCUUGAAAGAGACUAUGAUACUCUGAAGAAACAGUUCGAUGUUUUGAAAUCGGAUAAUCAUUCUCUUCUAGCACACAAUAAGAAACUCCAUGAUGGGUUCCAUAGAUGUCAAAGCUCGAAUCUGGGGUUUAUCAGAACAGAGGGUCGUCGCUUGGACCGAUGCUCAUGACUCCAUUUCAGCAAGUUACCAACACAACGGAAAUGUAAUUUUCUUUUCAGUUUUGCUCUGUUUUGGAGAUUACAAAGUUCGCAGCUUUGUUCUGUUUUUAAAAUCGCAGCUUUGCUCUGUUUUUUUAUACAGCCUUCUAAUUUUUUACGCUUCGGAAAAAGCAAGAUAUUUAUCGAUACUGAUCAGAGUUUAACCAUUUCUUUCUUGCACAACUCUGUUGGAGAGUGGUUGGAACAGAUGGGGCAGCAAGAAAUAUUUUUUUUGUUGGAUCCAUCGCUUUUCAGGAUGUAGCACACAAGGUCUCUGCCCUUAAAGUUUUUCUUAACAGGGGAGACAUGGCAAGACUUAAGGAGAUUCAAGAAGCUUUCUUACAAAUGAGCGCACCAAAGGCUCUGAGAAAUGAACUGAUUCACAAACUGAGAAGUGAAAGAAUGUUGUAUCAUGGAGAUGAAUCAAGCUGGAACCGAUCAUGGAUGGCAAUUAAGAAGCUCUGGGCUUCAAAGUGGAACGUGAGAGCUUACGUCAGUAGAAAACUAGAGUUGACCCAUGAUGCCGUCUGCAUGUCGGUGCUGGUUCAAGAAUCAUGUGGUGAUUAUGCUUUCGUCAUUCACACAAACAAUCCUGUCACUGGUGAUCCUUCAGAAAUACACACAAGAGAUUGUGAAGGGUUUGGGUGAGACCUUGGUUGGAGGAUAUCCAGGACGAGCAAUGAGCUUUAUCACCAAGAAAACAAACCUCAACUCGCCAACCGUGAGAAACAAAAAACAGAUAGUGUUUGCAUGUUAACUCCAGUAAGUAUUUGAGCUGUGCAGGUGAUCAGUAGUUACCCAAGUAAGAGGAUAGUUCUGUACUCUAAACCCUCUAUCAUGUUCUUAGCAGGAAUGUUGUCAAAGUCUGUACACAUUAAUACCAAAUAAUUGUUUUCCCCCUAAGUAAUAGACAACCUAUAAAAACCAUUGUUUUCCUUAA